GUAGUUGCAGCCAAGCGUGUAUGUGCGUGAUGUCAUUUAACGCGAGGUUAGAAUAGUUGCACGUAGAACCGGUUGCGAAACGCAUAUGUUGUUAUUUAUAUUCCCGUGUAAAGCGUACGUGCCUGCGCCGCAUUAACGGAGAUGAUUACACGGGACCAAGUGCACUUACAUAAUGAAAUGCAACAGCCUACUGUGUAUCUACAAAAUGAGCCAUACAACGUCCAACUGCGCCUGACAACCACUACACUUCACGCACUGGGGAGUACUGAUCGCGUAAGAUGACGUUGAUCUAACUAUUCAUCCCAACUGGGCGCCCAGAUCAUUUUCUCCCACUCCAUUGAAGCAGCGUCAACGAUGGUCGAACCACUUGGGGUGUCUGGCAUGCGCGAUUUUGGGGCGGCGCUGCUGUAUGAGAGGAACGCGUCUUCCAGAGCGGAGAAAGCUGAUUACUUCACAGCGUGGGACACAGCCUUCCAGCGGAUCUAACAUCAGGACUAAUUAGCCAAUCGGGCCUUAAUUAAGACACAGGACCAUUGUCCAUCCUCUUAAUCUUGUGGCGUAACACUUCUCUAAAUUUUCUUCCCAUAUCCUCAUACCAUACUAAGGAAUGACGCACAAUUUUAGGUUAUGUAGGUUUAGUACAAGAAGAAGCGGUGAAAUGAUUUCAUUCGUAUUCUAUCUUUGGUAAAUUGAAGGUAUUGUAGUGUCGAGCAUCUGGAAUUUUAAAGAAGUAUGUGCACGCAUCAGGAAAAAGUCGGGGUCGAGGUUGACGUCGCGAACUUGAUCUGAUCUGUACCGGUUUCUUCUAUCGAGUUGAUUUAUGAAAUGGAUUAGAAGGAGAAAAAUUAGGAGUGACUGAUGGUCGAGGAUUAGAUUGGAAUAUAUGAUGCUGAUGAUCAGUUGGUUAUGAAAUAACCUAAGGUAACCUAAGCUAAUUAAAGUAAUUACUGAUAUUUAAAAGAGGUACCAAAUGUCAGUAUAAUAAGCGGUACCAUACUAAUACGAUCAGCUAUUUUCGAGCGUUAUUUACAAGUCAUGAAUUAAUAAAAUUUAGCUUCAGUUAUGUUUAUAGAAAAAUCCAAUACUUAUCAAUAUUUGAGAAAUUUAAAGAUAGAAGAAACGAAUAGCUGAAUUGCAUAAAUAGAUAAAUGAAUGUACAAAGUAUGUACUGAUAGUUAACAUUUAUGUGGCCGUAAUCUCGUUUCACCCGUUGCAUUUUUUAAAUUUGAUAUUCAUCAGAUUAAAGAUUACCAAUACUAGAACUAGUCUCUACUGUACUUUAAAAUUAGUAUUACUAUUAAAUAUUAAUAUCAGUAUCAAUAACUAUGUAUGAAUACUAAUGAAAUGCUUUAUAUCUCCAUCUUAUAUACCUACACGCCAAAAAAAAAAUAUUUUGAUAGAGUGUUUGCUACUCCGUGAAGACAAUCGAAGUUGCGUCAGAGUACAGAAGGAGAUUUAUUUAUUUCAUCGUUGACAGACCGCAACGCAUCUCUGCGAGUGUCCAUAAUCUUGGUCAAUAAUAUUAUACACGCAACGACGCGUGUCAAGGAAUGGCACGAGCUUGUGUUUAACGCAAAUGUGUAACGCAAACGAACGCUGGAUGGGACAAGAUCGGCACGCGGUCCUAUUUAGAAAGUAUCCUGCGUAUUUGAAUGGCGUUAAAAUCAUCUUUCGAACUGGUCAUUUCACCUAUGCGACUAUGUUAUUACAUUACUGUGAAUAAUCACGUUUCGUAAUUCAUCUCCGUUGAAUCCUGCUCCUUCUCAACCGGUGAAUGAUGAUAUUUUAUUUAUCUGGUUCAUUCAAGCAAUAUUUAUAGUCUUGUUUCAGUUUAUCGAGGUUACCAGAAAGAAAAUCUAAUAAUUUAUUAGUACUAAAUAUGAUGGUACUAAUUUGAGUGAUUUAUGGGAUGCCUCCCAUGGUGGUAUAUUCUGAAAGUGCACAUUAUUAACCUAAUUGAAGGGUCGGACAAUGCAGUUCUAUAAAUGGUUGGUCCAACGAAGUAAUAAAUCCACAAUCAUAAUAGUUUUACAUUCUACUAGUUAUAGUUAUAAUUUCUAAGGCGUGAAAUUUUACUUGACAUAAUUCUUCAGAUAUCAUAGUAGAAUUUAUACGUAGAUAAUAAGAAGAUAAAGCAUGAUACAAAUGCUAUAGAAUCUUCCUACUUUCUCCAGACGAUUAAAAAGGAUUCUGCAGACGAUCUAUUUAGAUAAUCUUUUUCUCUCUGAAGCAUGAUAGACAAGGUCAUUAUGCGCUCAAAGGAUGCUCUAAAUUCAUUUCAAUUUUACGCAACGCAUCCUUCAGCACAAUUUGACCGAUCUCCUCUUUCUCUCCUCUAUAUGUAUAUGGUUUGAUGUUACCAUAUCUCGUUGUGAAACAGCGUGAUGUGAAUAAUGAAUUAACUGGACGAAGAAAAGGCAUCAUCCCAGUGGGCGCCUAACAAAAAGUCCAUUAUUUCAUCAUAGUUGGCGUCACGCGACCCCUUCGAUCUGACAUCGAGAUCGAAAGUAAAUCAAGGAUGCAUAUAAAAGUACUUAAGCACUUUCAAGUCAGUUUUACGUAAAGAUGAAUCGAAAGGAAUCGCGAGCUUCUCAGAAGCCGAAUGUAUCAACUUCUCACUUUUUGUAAAAUUUUCACUUAUUCUAUUCUUUUUUUAUUCACACAUGUA
rnacentral:lncRNA from 1 species